rnacentral:rRNA from 1 species
UUGGUGAGGUAAUGGCUCACCAAGGCGACGAUCCGUAGCUGGUCUGAGAGGAUGAUCAGCCACAUCGGGACUGAGACACGGCCCGAACUCCUACGGGAGGCAGCAGUGGGGAAUAUUGGACAAUGGGCGCAAGCCUGAUCCAGCCAUGCCGCGUGUGUGAAGAAGGCCCUCGGGUUGUAAAGCACUUUCAGUGGGGAAGAAAGCCUUCCGGCUAAUACCCGGGAGGAAGGACAUCACCCACAGAAGAAGCACCGGCUAACUCCGUGCCAGCAGCCGCGGUAAUACGGAGGGUGCGAGCGUUAAUCGGAAUUACUGGGCGUAAAGCGCGCGUAGGUGGCUUGAUAAGCCGGUUGUGAAAGCCCCGGGCUCAACCUGGGAACGGCAUCCGGAACUGUCAGGCUAGAGUGCAGGAGAGGAAGGUAGAAUUCCCGGUGUAGCGGUGAAAUGCGUAGAGAUCGGGAGGAAUACCAGUGGCGAAGGCGGCCUUCUGGACUGACACUGACACUGAGGUGCGAAAGCGUGGGUAGCAAACAGGAUUAGAUACCCUGGUAGUCCACGCCGUAAACGAUGUCGACUAGCCGUUGGGUCCUUCGCGGACUUUGUGGCGCAGUUAACGCGAUAAGUCGACCGCCUGGGGAGUACGGCCGCAAGGUUAAAACUCAAAUGAAUUGACGGGGGCCCGCACAAGCGGUGGAGCAUGUGGUUUAAUUCGAUGCAACGCGAAGAACCUUACCUACCCUUGACAUCCUGCGAACCCUUUGGAGACGAAAGGGUGCCUUCGGGAACGCASAGACAGGUGCUGCAUGGCUGUCGUCAGCUCGUGUUGUGAAAUGUUGGGUUAAGUCCCGUAACGAGCGCAACCCUUGUCCCUAUUUGCCAGCGAUUCGGUCGGGAACUCUARGGAGACUGCCGGUGACAAACCGGAGGAAGGUGGGGACGACGUCAAGUCAUCAUGGCCCUUACGGGUAGGGCUACACACGUGCUACAAUGGUCGGUACAAAGGGUU